UCCAGACUCCUACGGGAGGCAGCAGUGGGGAAUAUUGCACAAUGGGGGGAACCCUGAUGCAGCGACGCCGCGUGGGUGAAGAAGCGCCUCGGCGCGUAAAGCCCUGUCAGCAGGGAAGAAAAUGACGGUACCUGAAGAAGAAGCCCCGGCUAACUACGUGCCAGCAGCCGCGGUAAUACGUAGGGGGCAAGCGUUAUCCGGAUUUACUGGGUGUAAAGGGAGCGUAGACGGCAGCACAAGUCUGGAGUGAAAUCCCGGGGCUUAACCCCGGAACUGCUUUGGAAACUGUGCGGCUGGAGUGCAGGAGGGGUAAGCGGAAUUCCUAGUGUAGCGGUGAAAUGCGUAGAUAUUAGGAGGAACACCGGUGGCGAAGGCGGCUUACUGGACUGUAACUGACGUUGAGGCUCGAAAGCGUGGGGAGCAAACAGGAUUAGAUACCCUUGUAU
rnacentral:rRNA from 1 species